rnacentral:lncRNA from 1 species
AUGAUCCCUAGUAACAGUGGUGUCUGUAGUACUGUCCCUACUAAUCACACCGUUAUCUCUUUCCCUACAGUGGUACAACCGCCAGCUGGUGUUGCCGUAGUAGCGACAGGAAGGAGCUCAGCCCGUGUAACCUGGCAGACGGUCAACAAAGUUCUGUUGUAUCAGGUCAGCAUUACAGACAGCAACAAACCCAGCGUGCCUGUACUGAAGAACACCACCACUACGUACAUGGACAUCAGUAAUCUACAGCCCUGCUCCACAUACAUUGUAGGAGUGUCAUCAGUCAACGCCUUCCUAGAGCCUGGAGAACCCACUAAUGUCUCACACAUCACAUCCACCAUCAACAGGGUCAUGUCCAUCUCAGUGAACUACAGCUGUUCCAGUGGGGUGGUGACAGUGACUUGGGGACAGGUGUUGGGAGCCAACUCCUACAGGUGACUACUGUCUCUUAUUUACCUGGAUUGAUUGUGCUGUUCUAUGUGAUUGCUACAUCUUCCUCAGUUCAAUGCCUUUUUCUUAGGACCAAGAGUUAUUCCUGAUCCCUUAUCCGGGGUCUGGUGUUUUUCCCAGUCAGGUCACAUGGUCCGGGUAAAACUCCUGUGUCCCCUCUCAUUGAAAGUGGCUCUGAAUAACACACACAUGUUAUGUACAUCUGCUAAAUGACUCAAUGGCCAAACUGUGAAUGUGUUGUCAAGGGCGGAGGCUGUAGAUGUGAAUGGGACGGCCCUGUCCUGCACCUCUGCCUCAAACACCUGUCAGAUCACCAUGUUGAACUGUGGAGAGAGAUACCUGAUCCAGGUCACUGCCAUCUCAUUCGACUGCCAGAGCACCUCCAACACAUCCACAUACCUUGAGACAGGUGAGGGACAUGUGGAUGUACAGCAUACCUCUACUAUCUUGCUAUCCCCUCCUCUCUGUCUCUGUCUAUCCCCUCCUCUCUGUCUCUGUCUAUCCCCUCCUCUCUGUCUCUGUCUAUCCCCUCCUCUCUGUCUACAUCUUUUUCUUCUAUUUGAUCUGUUAUCUGUUCCAGUUCCUCUCACGUUCACACUCACACACACAUACACCCCCCAACAGGUCUAUUGACUAGACUAGUCUCUAUUGAGUAGAGGGGAGUUGUAUGAAAGGUCAGACAGUGAUAGUGUCUGUCAUACCAGGAAGUAAAAAGACAUGUGUGAGGUAUAGAGUGAAAACGCACACAGGAAUACGUUACCUACUGU